rnacentral:lncRNA from 1 species
AUAAAAUUGAGAAUGGAAAUGGGGAAUGUGCCAAAAAGACAACAACCCGACCAUAGAAAAAAAAAAACAACAGCAGAAGGUCACCAACAGGUCUUCAAUGUAGCGAAAAAUUCCUGCACCCGGAGGCGUCCUUCAGCUGGCCCCUAAACAAAUAUAUACUAGUUCAGUGAUAAUGAACGCCAUACUAAUUUCCAAAUUGUACACAAGAAACUAAAAUUAAAAUAAUACAAGACUAACAAAGGCCAGAGGCUCCUGACUUGGGACAGGCGCAAAAAUGCGGUGGGGUUAAACAUGUUUGUGAGAUCUCAACCCUCCCCCUAUACCUCUAGCCAAGGUAGAAAAGUAAACGCAUAACAAUACGCACAUUAAAAUUCAGUUCAAGAGAAGUCCGAGUCUGAUGUCAGAAGAUGUAACCAAAGAAAAUAAACAAAAUAACAAUAAUACAUAAAUAACAACAGACUACUAGCAGUUAACUGACAUGCCAGCUCCAGACUUCAAUUAAACUGACUGAAAGAUUAUGAUUUCAUCAUAUGAACAUCAGGC